rnacentral:rRNA from 1 species
UUUUGGACAAUGGGCGCAAGCCUGAUCCAGCAAUGCCGCGUGAGUGAAGAAGGCCUUCGGGUUGUAAAGCUCUUUUGUCAGGGAAGAAACGGUGAGCUCUAAUACAGUUUGCUAAUGACGGUACCUGAAGAAUAAGCACCGGCUAACUACGUGCCAGCAGCCGCGGUAAUACGUAGGGUGCAAGCGUUAAUCGGAAUUACUGGGCGUAAAGCGUGCGCAGGCGGUUAUGUAAGUCAGAUGUGAAAUCCCCGGGCUCAACCUGGGAAUGGCAUUUGAGACUGCAUGGCUAGAGUGUGUCAGAGGGGGGUAGAAUUCCACGUGUAGCAGUGAAAUGCGUAGAGAUGUGGAGGAAUACCGAUGGCGAAGGCAGCCCCCUGGGAUAACGCUGACGCUCAUGCACGAAA